UCCUCGUUCUCCAGGUGGACGCCUGACUUCUUCUUUUCUCAUCCUCAUUCUCCAGGUGGACGCCUGAUUUCUUUAAUUCUCAUCCUCAUUCUCCAGGUGGACGCCUGACUUCUUUCUUUAACUCUCAUCCUCAUUCUCCAGGUGGACGCCUGAUUUCUUCAAUUCUCAUCCUCAUUCUCCAGGUGGACGCCUGAUUUCUUUAAUUCUCAUCCUCAUUCUCCAGGUGGACGCCUGAUUCUUUAAUUCUCAUCCUCAUUCUCCAAGUGGACGCCUGACGUCUUCUUUUCUUCUUUACAAGGUAUUUCCUGACACAAAUAUUGUCUUUUCCCCUGUUUUAAAUCAAAGAAAACUUCGUUAGUUUAAAGCAGGGUGGUUAACUGGGGUAUUCUUGCCGAUGGUGAGGCUUCUCUUCGUCUCUUUUUUAUUACCUUGGAAUGAUUGAAAAAGACUGUUUUGUCCUUGUAAUUGAUCCUUGACUAUAGGAUUCCCCUCUGUAUGUUUUCCUUCAUACCCUUUUAACCGUAAUCAUAUGUCUCUCCUGACAUUGUUGAUCCACUUUUGAUUUCACUUUUCUUCCUCCCAUAUCUUAUUAUUUUUAUCUCCCGCCUUUCAUGGCUUUAUUUUGCAUCAUGUAACCUUGAAUCUUGGUAGUAUACCUUGACAUUCCUUCUUAUUUAUUUGGAAUAAAACUUAUCUCAAAGCUUUUAUAAAAGUAAGAUUAUUAGUGACGAAACACGCUGAUUUCGACAAUUAUAGAAUGAAAAGAAAAAUCCAAAUUUGGAUGACUGUUGGAAAAGGAAUAAACUUAUCUGAUUGGAGUCACUGGCGCCAAUGAUAAGGGUAUGCAUUUUGGAUUAAUCAACCCAGUAUUUAAUCAAUCUCCUUUCAAUUGUCUCAUUUUUGUUUUCCCCAAAUCUUUCAUAAUCCAACUUCAUUUUUCAUUUUACAGACCUGUU
rnacentral:lncRNA from 1 species